rnacentral:rRNA from 1 species
UACCGCGGUUAUACGAGGGGCCCAAGUUGUGAGACAUCGGCGUAAAGGGUGGUUAAGGAAGAUCAAAACUAAAGCCGAAUACUGUCAAGGCUGUUAUACGCACCCGACAGUAAGAAGAUCAAUCACGAAAGUGGCUUUAUGCCCCCUGAACCCACGAAAGCUAGGAUA